UUCUGGUUGAUCCUGCCGGAGGCCACUGCUAUUGGGGUUCGGCUAAGCCAUGCGAGUGGAGGGCGUCCCGCAAGGGAUGGCCCCGCAGACGGCUCAGUAACACGUCGUCAACCUACCCUGGGGUGGGGGACAACCUCGGGAAACUGAGGAUAAUCCCCCAUAGGUGGGGGAGGCUGGAAUGCGCCUCCGCUGAAAGCUCAGGCACCCCAGGACGGGACGGCGGCCUAUCAGGUAGUUGGUGGUAUAACGGACCACCAAGCCUACGACGGGUACGGGCUGUGAGAGCAGGAGCCCGGAGAUGGGGACUGAGACAAGGCCCCAGGCCCUACGGGGCGCAGCAGGCGCGAAAACUCCGCAAUGCGCGCAAGCGUGACGGGGGAACCCCAAGUGCCGCUGAUCUUUGAUCGGCGGCUUUUCGGGAGUGUAAGGAGCUCCCGGAAUAAGGGCUGGGUAAGACUGGUGCCAGCCGCCGCGGUAAUACCAGCAGCCCAAGUGGUGGUCGCGUUUAUUGGGCCUAAAGCGCUCGUAGCCUGGCCGGUAAGUUCCCCGUGAAAUCGGGUCGCUCAACGAUUCGGCUUGCGGGGAAUACUGUCGGUCUUGGGGCCGGGAGACGCCGAGGGUAUUCCGGGGGUAGCGGUGAAAUGCUGUAAUCCUCGGAGGACUACCAGUGGCGAAGGCGCUCGGCGAGAACGGGCCUGACGGUGAGGGGCGAAAGCUGGGGGAGCGAACGGGAUUAGAUACCCCGGUAGUCCCAGCCGUAAAGGAUGCGGGCAAGGUGCUCGUCGCUCUUCGAGGGCGCCGGGUGCCGUAGAGAAGUCGUUAAGCCCGCCGCCUGGGAAGUACGGUCGCAAGGCUGAAACUUAAGAAAUUGGCGGGGGAGCACCACAAGGGGUGGAACCUGCGGCUCAUUGGAUUCAC
rnacentral:rRNA from 1 species